CGCGUGAGCAACCUGUCCCAGACAGGGGGAUAACACUUGGAAACAGGUGCUAAUACCGCAUAAGACCACGGGAUCACAUGGUUCUGGGGUAAAAAGGAGCAAUCCGGGUUUGGGGUGGGCUCGCGUCCGAUUAGCCAGUUGGCGGGGUAACGGCCCACCAAAGCGACGAUCGGUAGCCGACCUGAGAGGGUGAACGGCCACAUUGGAACUGAGAGACGGUCCAAACUCCUACGGGAGGCAGCAGUGGGGAAUAUUGGGCAAUGGGCGAAAGCCUGACCCAGCAACGCCGCGUGAGUGAAGAAGGCCUUCGGGUUGUAAAGCUCUGUUAUAGUUGACGAAGGAAGUGACGGUAGGCUAUAAGGAAGCCCCGGCUAACUACGUGCCAGCCGCAGC
rnacentral:rRNA from 1 species